CUUUUGGUACAACUGGCCUAAAACUUAAAAUAUUUUUUCAAUAAGUUAAAUAUCAAUAUAUUUAUUGAAAAAUAGCUAAUAUGUCAAAAUAAGAAAACUUAAAAUUCUCACGCGAAUAGGCAAUGUUUUUAUGAGCGACUGUUCAUCGUUAGUUGCAAACGACGGUAAUAUAAACAAUUAAAUCAAACAUGGUCAAGGUCGAAAGCGUUUAAAACUCUUUGUCGACAAGUGGUUUCGCAUUACAUUACGAUUCAAUUUUUCUAAUGUAAAUAUCGCGGCGAGUAUUUACCCCCCUUUAAAACAAAACCCAC